CCUACGGGUGGCUGCAGUGAGGAAUAUUGGUCAAUGGGCGCGAGCCUGAUCCAGCCAAGUCGCGUGAGGGAAGACGGUCCUAUGGAUUGUAAACUUCUUUUGUCGGGGAGUAAAAGAAUCCACGCGUGGCGUUCCGAAAGUACCCGAAGAAAAAGCAUCGGCUAACUCCGUGCCAGCAGCCGCGGUAAUACGGAGGAUGCUAGCGUUAUCCGGAUUUAUUGGGUGUAAAGGGUGCGCAGGCGGAAGAUUACGUCAGCGGUAAAAUUUGUAGGCUCAACCUAGUAUAGCCGUUGAAACUGGUUGACUUGAGUGUGUGAGAGGUAUGCGGAAUGCGUGGUGUAGCGGUGAAAUGCAUAGAGAUCACGCAGAACUCCGAUUGCGAAGGCAGCAUAC
rnacentral:rRNA from 1 species